rnacentral:snRNA from 1 species
GUGCUUGCUUUGGCAGCACAUAUUCUAAAAUUGGAAAAAUACAGAGAAGAUUAGCCUGGCCCCUGUGCAAGGAUGACACACAAAUUCAUGAAGCAUUCCGUAUUUUU